rnacentral:sRNA from 1 species
GACAGAAGGUUCUCUCUCAGCAGGGGUGACAGACAGCCCUGAGUCCCUUCAACUCUGCAGCUAGGUCAAAGGUAUUAUGUGAAGGUGGCCAUUGAGUGAACCAAAACAGGAGUCCUUGGAUCUUUAGAUUUGGGCCAUAACUGGCUGAUCCCAGAGAUUUUUGUCCCCAGGACCCAAGAGGAGUGGGCAAGUGAUGAUAAGUGGCCAGAGUAGUUGGGGCUCCCACCCCAUCAAGUUCUUCCAAACAUCCCCUGGCUUAAGAGUUCAGCUCCACAAAGCAAAUCCCCCAUCUGCUGGCAGCCUGGUUGCCCCACCCCCUCACCCUCUCUGCUUGCCCCGCUCUGCCUUUUGUCUACCUCAGGGGCCUUUGCCUAAGUACUCUCUCUCCUGGGCAUCCCUCCCAGCUUCCUCUUCAGCUCCUAAGGUCUUUGUUUCCUGUUCUGUCUCCCUCAUCCUCCUACUCCUACUUGGCCGAAUCACUCUCUAACGUUUCCCACAUCGGUUUCUAUCCCCCAUCUAAGCGGCCUCAGCGUUCCCUGUGCACAUCCCACCUUCACGCAGAGGAAGGAGAAAGCACAACAAACAAGUGUGCGGCCGGGAGGGAAGGUGGGAGUUACCUGUCCAGAGCCCCUCCCACCAGACUGUCUGCCUUCCUGGCAGGUGCUUGAGGUCCUAUCCUAUUGGGCCAGUGGGUAAGCCCCUCUGGACACACCAGCCUUCCUACCCCAUGCAGAUUCUGCUUCUCCUUGGUGUGUGUGUGGGGGGGGGGGGGGAAGACGACGACACGGACCUUCUCCUACGACCUUAUCUAAUGUUAGCAUGCAACUCUUGGGUACAUGAUCCCAAUUGGGUCGGAGUUUUCAUAAGUAGAUCACCCCAGAAGGAUGUGUCCUUUCUAGAACAAGACUGAGGUAGAAGAGGUGCCAAAUGACUGGCCUGUGGACACUCCACUCCCUUCUCACUUCAGGAAGAGCACAAAACACUUGACCCUUUCACACCAGGCAGGUUUCCUCAUUCUGAUUUGUCACUUCUCGGUCACAUGGUAGGUCUGGCACUUGAACUACCAGGUGAGCUUUCUCUUACAUCCCGGGCCAGGCAGGGACUAAGUCAACUUAGCCUGAUCCAGCCCUUGCAAGCCUGAGUUUUCUAUUGGGGUUGAUGAAGGGGUGAGGGGAAGGGAGGGCGAAUACCAGAGAUCAAAGUCCACAGGGUUGGCCCCUCUCCUCCUGGGUCCUGUCCUGGUCACUGUCCUGCCAUGAUCUCUUUUCCAGGAGGGUAUGUGACCUGCCCCCAGCUGCUUAGUAGCUCUCUGGCCUCUACAGGGGUACACAAGCUCACCCAGGCUAACACCAACUCACACAUCUGCAAGGGAGCGCCCACACACUCUGGAGACACAUGGCCCAAUGUUUGGGCAUUCUGGCACACUCUCAGGAGCACAGUGUAGCCACUCGAUACUUACAAAGCAGCAACAUGCCUCCAGGACAUCUCAGUAAGUCUCCACAUGCACACAUGUAACUGACACGGGCAGUCCCACACACUCGCUGGAUCUCAGACAUACAAAGACGCCUACUCAGUGAAGUCACAUGCCACCGCACAACCCACCGGAGGGCCACACAGGCACACCUUAUCAGAUCUCACAUGUCCCCUCUCCCACUGCCUUUCAUUCUAUUAGACUCCCCCUUCCACUUGGACCUGGAGAACUAUAGUGCCCCCCCUCAAAAAAAAGACUGGGCUCCCAGCCCCCAAGCCUGGCCGCAUUAAUUUCCCUAAGCGACACUCCGCAGUUUCCCUGGGGAAAUUAGAGGAAGGCUGAAAGAGAGACAAGGGCAAAGGGAUGAAGCCGGGAAAGGCAGCUACUGAGAGCUAAGACAGCUUGACGUAUGGUCAGGAGAUGAUGAGCUUCGGCUUUUUCGAAGGCUAUUCUCGCCACCUUUCUGAUUUUUUAGAAAUUCGACAUGGGGGGGGCGAUAAUGAGAAAAUUGGAAGUCAGUAUUAGAGGAAGAACGAAUGAGGAUGGGCAAAAAAGAAAAAAAAGGGUGGGGGGGUACAAGAGAGAAGCAGCCCUCUGGGGACGAGGACGGACGGUCGGGCGGCGAGGGGGAGGAGCCGAGGAGUAGCCUCCCGGGAGAGUCCUGUUUACACUUGAGGAUCCCAAACCGCUUAGCAGAGGAAAGCUCUCACACAUUGCACAGACCACGGCUGAUCCAGGGGACCAGUAAAGAAAAAAUGAAUGGCUAGUGAAGAUGGACAAAGACGUACUUGGCCCAGCAGUCGAAGACUUAUAAGGGAAUAAGGAGGAGGAGUCAGUGCACGCUGAGGGACCUUCCAGGUGAUGUCUAUUAUAGGCUGCAGUCUCCCUCAACUGCGCCAUCCAGGAUGUCUGCCGAAGCCCCAUCACCUACCGUGGAACUGGAGCACCGGUGACUCCCAGGCCUAGCACUGGCUUUAUUGCUGAGGUCCAGACUCACAGACUCACCCCCCUUUCUUCCCUGCCUUGUGCUCCGUGGAGCCUCAAACAGAAGCGAACCGAAAUCGCCCCGCGUUCCCUCUCUGGGUUGAUGGCAGUUUCCUCCAUGCAAAAUUAGACCUCGGUUUUUCUUCCCUUGCCUAGGUCCUUGCUUCUUGUCUUCCCUACCCUGACCUGCAUGUUCUCAGAGGCCCAGCUUCACCCCUCACAAUUGUCAGUCACGAGUGUGGGAUUUUUGUAUCUUCACGCCUACCUCAGUUUCCCCAUUUCCAUACCUGCUAUAUUGUACAAACUCGGAAAAAAAAAAAAAAGUUCCCAAAC